CCUACGGGAGGCAGCAGUGAGGAAUAUUGGUCAAUGGACGAGAGUCUGAACCAGCCAAGUAGCGUGAAGGAUGACUGCCCUAUGGGUUGUAAACUUCUUUUAUAUGGGAAUAAAAUGUUCCACGUGUGGGUUUUUGUAUGUACCAUAUGAAUAAGGAUCGGCUAACUCCGUGCCAGCAGCCGCGGUAAUACGGAGGAUCCGAGCGUUAUCCGGAGUUAUUGGGUUUAAAGGGAGCGUAGGUGGAUUGUUAAGUCAGUUGUGAAAGUUUGCGGCUCAACCGUAAAAUUGCAGUUGAAACUGGCAGUCUUGAGUACAGUAGAGGUGGGCGGAAUUCGUGGUGUAGCGGUGAAAUGCUUAGAGAUCACGAAGAACUCCGAUUGCGAAGGCAGCUCACUGGACUGCAACUGACACUGAGGCUCGAAAGUGUGGGUAUCAAACAGGAUUAGAUACUCCAGUAGUC
rnacentral:rRNA from 1 species